AUCACUUCGAUGACAUCUCCAGCCUUGAACCCCAGUUCUUGAUCAUCCAUGGUGACAUGAUCCCAGAGUGCCUCAGCAUAGACCACACUGCCAUCACUGAUAAGCUGUGGACAGAUUCAACAAGACAUUGAUAAAUACCGGUUGCUAUCUGAAUAUUUUUAACUCUUGUUUCUGGUCCUCAGUCUCUUACUGUAAUGAUAUGCUGCUGGCUCCAGAUCAAGGAACACUACGGGGUGCCUUGAAGAUCAAAUGAGAUAACGAAUGUGAAAGCUUUGCCAUCAUCAGAAUGUCAGACACUAUUAUGACCUAGGCUGGCAUAACAGAUGCAAAACUUCCACAUGGCAGGGAGGUUCUUGCAGCAAUCUCCUGCCGCUUUGAAUGCCGGAUUAUCUGAAUGAGGAUUUUAUGAUCACCAUUCUUCCUACCACUCACAAAGCAUUUCAGGCCAUUAGUUGUUGGUGUAGACGCAAGCUAGGUAACACAGCAUCAAAGGCAUCAAGCUACGUUAAGCACCACAGCACUAAAACCUUUUCCAGGAGGCUCUUCAAACGCAGACAGAAAGGAAACGGGGCUCCGGUUGGCAUGGAGUUGUCUGUUCUACUUCAUAAAUUCUCAAAGGAAAGAGAUACCACAGCUUUCUCACAGUGGCUUAUACAACUCUCUGAGCCUCAGUUUCCUCAUCUGCAAAAUGUGACAGUGGGGGGUAUUACCAGCGCUAAACCCUGUGUAAUUACUCUCUCUGAAGUUAAUAACUGUUGUAAUAUUUAGCUGACAGAAUUUCUGGUUGGAAAGAACUUCCGUAGAGGACUACUGAUGUGAGUCAUUAUGACAUCACCUCACAGGUUAAGGACAAAUAUUUGCCAAUUUUUAUCAACUUAUUAUGAAUCUCAUGAAUAUAAAUUCAUGAAUUUAUCCCAAUUAAGUCUCAGAUACUUAUGGAAUGUUCAAGAUACUAGGGUUCUGCAAGGUUGAAUAAGACAGCUGCUUCCCUCACAGAACUUUCCAAUUUAUGAAGGGAGAGAAGACGGUGAGAAGCUUGUGGACUGCUUGAGUGGAGGUUGGACUGGAAGACCUCUCAUGUUCCUUCCAGUGCUAAGGUUCUAUGAAAGUCACUUCUGCACAAAAAAACUAGAACACAAGAAAGAAUGCUUAUCCCUCUCUUAUAGCAUUUAUCGCAAAGUACUAAUGGGGCAAAGAGGAAGAUUAUUUUUGGCUAGAGAAUCUGGGAAGACUUCAUGUAGGUGGUGGUAAUUGAGCUGGGCCUUUAGUGAUAAAAAAGGAUAAAAGGUGUUUAAAAAAGUAGAUAUGGGCUAAGCACUAUUAUUUGGCAUAAUGAGUUCUAUAAUCUAUUCCCCUCUGAGUAAGUUUGUCUUUUUUUUCCCCCUUAAAUAUAUCUCUUUCAUGCCUCAAGUGGAUGAUAUUAGAGGAGCUAGAGAACAUUAUAGAAAAAUGCAAAUUCCUCCAGAAGAGAGACUGUUCUUGUCUUUGAAUCCCCAAGGGUCUACUAGCACAGCUCCCUGAAAAUGGUAGACACAAUACUUUUUUAAAAAUUUAAUUUGAAUGCUAUUUUCUUCUACCUCCAUAAUUGUCUCUAUUUCAAUUGUAAUCCCUUCCUGCCUCGUGCCCUCCAGAUUAAAGAGACCUAAUCACCUUUUUUCCUAGUUGUCAUGAAUUCUUAUUGCCAUUUCAAACAGUUUAGAUUUACUAUUAUUAUCCAGUGAAGUUCCCGAGUCUUCCAAAUGGCAUGGUGCCUAUGAAUUCCAACCUCUGGUUCUAGAAUUCCUGCAGAAGAUUCAGGGGCAGAACCAAUCAUGUUCAGCCUUUUCACAUAUGAAAACAAUUGAAUGAAACAUGGGGUCCGGGGUCAGGGACAGAAAUGAAUGAAGCAGGAAGAUAUUGAGGACUUCAGACCCUGUAGUUGCCUAAAGAUCAAUUUUUACCAAAUGCUCUCCUUAGUGUCUUUGGAAAAAAGGACCAAGAUGAGGCCAGCUACCUACCUCCUAAUGGAGGGCUGAUGGCUGCAAGAUUUAGAAUGAGACAAGAACUUCUGGAUGUGGCCGAUUUGGGAAUCUGUUUUGUAUCUUUCUUAGGAGAGUUUUAUCUUUUUUCUUUUUUUGCUCAGUUGACAGGGAAAAGAAGAGGAAAAUAAAACCUUUUUAAUUUAAAACAUUUAAAAAAGAAUAUAAUAAUGAUGAAAAGGAAAGCUGUGACAGUGAUGAUCUGCCGUUGACCCUUUCUCUACCCUAUUUCUUGGCAAUUUCAUUGCUUCCCAAGAUUUCAAUUAUUAUCUCUAUCUUUAUAGAAGCCUCCGAAAUCUUUAUCUUCAGUCUCAACUUGUCAGGGCUUCAGAUCCAUAUUUAUAAUUCCUAGAUAACUCCAUUAUCCCUGUGGCACCCCAAAGUCAAUGUAUCCAAAGAGAACAUACUAUCUUUCCCCCCAAACUAACUCUGCCUACUGAUUUCAAGAAGGCUAUCUGAAGGGGGCAGUUCAGAUAUGUAUUAGCCGUGUGUCCCCGGGCAAGUCACUUAACCCUGGUUGCCUUGGUUUCCUCAUCUGUCAAAUGAGCUGGAGAGGAAAACGGCAAAUCAUUCCUGUAUCUUUGUCAAGAAAACCCCAAACUGGGUCAUGAAGAGUCAGAGAUGACUGAAAAACCCCUGAAUAACAACAAUAGGACUACCGUUCCUCUAGCCUCCCAGGCUAGAAAUUUCCAUUUUUAUCAAUGACUCCUAUUUCUCCUUUGCCUCCUUUAUUCAAUCAAUUAAUGUGAAUUCUUACUUUCAAAAUCUCUCCCUUCUAUUCCCAUGUCAACCUCUCUAGUACUAACGUGGGCCACUGAUACAGCUUGCCCUUGCCACGACAAUAAUUCCCAAUCUAAUAAUCCAUCUCUCAUUGCUCUGGCAUUUGAGGGUCUCUAUAAAAUCACAACUUGCCUACCUUAUUUCUCAUUAUAUUGUAUUCCACCGGAAGUAUUCUGUAUACUACUCAAAGGCCCUCAGAUAUGUUCUAUGCUUUCUUGCCUUGAGGAUUUUACUCAUCUCAUUCUUCAUCAGCUUUCCUCAUCUUUAUAUCUUUAAACAUCUCAUCUACUUUCAAGAACCAGGUCAGAUGCUCUCCUCCAAAAAGCUUUCCUUGAUGUUUGCAGUCAGAAAUGAUCGCUUUCUGACCUGGCAUAAAAAUUUAUGUUAUUUUUUUAAAUGAAAUCUUUUUUUUUCUAGAUUAUACAUGUAUUGUAAAACCAUAUUUCCAUAUUAUUCCAUUUUAUACAUUAAUAAUCUUAUAAAACCCAAACCCUCAAAUGUACCCCCCCCCCAAAACCAAGUGAUAAAUCACAUACUUUAAUCCACAUUCCUUCUUUCUCUGGAGGUGGAUAGUAUUCUUUGUCGUAAGUCCGUCAGAUUUGUCCUGAAUCAUUGUAUUGCUGAGAGUCCCCAGGUCUGUCCACAAGGUGGCUGCUACUGCGUUAUCCUAUUUCUGUUUCUGCUUCAUGUAGGUCUUCCCAGCUCUUUCGGAAACAAUCCCGUCCAUCGUUCCUUAUAGCACAAUGGUAUCCCAUCACCAUCCUAUACCACAGCAUUCCCCAGUUGAGGGACAUCCCUUCAGCUUCCAGUUCUUUGCCACCACAAAGAGAGAAGUGAUACUAUGUAUGUACAAGUCGGUCCUUUCCACUUCUUAAUGAUCUCUUUGGGAUACAGACCUAGUAGUGGUAUUGCUGGAUCUUUAGGGCCAUUCGGGCAUGAUUCUGGAAUAGUAGUUUUAUACAAAUCAAAAACUCUUACUUCCUGUCCUCGUGACAACUCUGAGACAGGAGGACGUGGGCUCGGCCCACGUGGGGAAACAGUCUUCCAGGGCCACCCAGCUAGCUAGGCCUGGCGCUCUCUCCACUGAGCCACCUACCUGCCCUUGCAGGGAACUUCUUACUGGUUCAAACACUUUUUGCAUUGACAGCCCGGUCCAGUAGGGACAGACCUCAAUGCUCUGGGUCACUUUUUAAGAUGGUAAAUUGUAGAGAAGGUGCCAAUCUGCAUGGAAGCAGAAGUUUCCUGACCUGGAAGUUGCCAAUCAAAGGGUCCGUCUCUCUUCUAUGCAAUUCAUAGUAUAAUGCAUCUAGUUAUACGUGUGUCUCACCCCUGCUACAUUAUACACUCGAUGGGAGGAGAGGCACCCCUGUGCUUUGUCUCUGGUAAGUGACUGUGGAAUAAAUAGAGGAUGAUGAUGAUAGCCUAGUGGAAAGGGCUGUGGGACGUGGGCUCUACUACUGUGUUACCUUGGACAAGUGAUUUUAUCUCUUUAGGCCUCCACAGGCUCAUCUAUUCAUCCUAUUAGGCAUUAAUUAAUGAUUAAAAUGCAUGUACUUCACUUUCAAUUAUCUGCAUCAAUUGGUAAUCCAAGGAAGCAGGGUAGAAUAAUUAGAAAACAUUGAAAAUGUAACCUGUGAAUGGGUUGCACUCACUUUUUUUUCAGGAACAGACUAUUUCACCCCGAUGAAAAUAAAGAAGUGUCUAUAAACAAUUGUUGCAUUCAUUUUUUAACAACCCUUACCUUCCGUCUUAGAAUCAACACUGUGUAUUGGCUCCAAGUCAGAAGAAUGGUCAGGGCUAGGCAAUGGGGGUCAAGUGACUUGCCCAGGGUCACACAGCUGGGAAGUGUCUGAGGCCAGAUUUGAGCUAGGACCUCCCAUCUCUGGCCUGACUCUCAAUUCACUGAGCUCCCCAGCUGCCCCCUGCACUCAUUUUUAAAGCAAUAGAUUCAACCCAAUUAUUGACUGUUUAGUACCUCAACACCUCAAGGGGUGGCAAUUUCACCACUGAUAUGGAUCAUAACCCUCUGUAACUGUGGAUGGCCCUCAAGAGCUGCUGCCCCGAUUCCCAGAUAUAUACAAACCAGAUAGAAGAUAAUUUAUUUUGGGGGUGGGGAGGGAGUCCUAGCAUUGAGGGGA